AUUGAACGCUGGCGGCAGGCUUAACACAUGCAAGUCGAGCGGAGAUGAGGUGCUUGCACCUUAUCUUAGCGGCGGACGGGUGAGUAAUGCUUAGGAAUCUGCCUAUUAGUGGGGGACAACAUUCCGAAAGGAAUGCUAAUACCGCAUACGUCCUACGUGAGAAAGCAGGGGAUCUUCGGACCUUGCGCCAAUAGAUGAGCCUAAGUCGGAUUAGCUAGUUGGUGGGGUAAAGGCCUACCAAGGCGACGAUCUGUAGCGGGUCUGAGAGGAUGAUCCGCCACACUGGGACUGAGACACGGCCCAGACUCCUACGGGAGGCAGCAGUGGGGAAUAUCUGACAAUGGGGGGAACCCUGAUCCAGCCAUGCCGCGUGUGUGAAGAAGGCCUUAUGGUUGUAAAGCACUUUAAGCGAGGAGGAGGCUACUGAGACUAAUACUCUUGGAUAGUGGACGUUACUCGCAGAAUAAGCACCGGCUAACUCUGUGCCAGCAGCCGCAGUAACAC
rnacentral:rRNA from 1 species